rnacentral:tRNA from 1 species
GGUAGGGCCUCUGGAUCUGGUGGCCGGCUCGGUCUUCAAAACCGAUGGAGGGGCGCGAAGGCGUUCUUCGGGGGGUUCGAUUCCCCUGCUCUACCG